rnacentral:ncRNA from 1 species
CGAAUAACGGUGAAGAGGAGCAGUAACGGGCCCGGCGGACGGCAGAGAGUUGACGGUCGGUGCGAGUCAACCGAAGCCGGCUCGUGAACUCGCCUCGGAGUUGCAGGUGCGAGCGGUCGCGGCCUCGUAGCACUUGCCGUGAAUCUGCGUUAAGGAGCAAAGCGGGUGCGCCAUUGGCGCGCCAAAAAGGGUGGUACCGCGGGAAUUGUGCCUCUCGUCCCUUUU